GAGGACUGUGAAGCAAUCGGGGCGAGGCCGGGUGUCUGUUCAACUCUCCCGCGUAUCGUCUGUUUCUUCGGCGGCGGACAGUGUUCUGUAAUGUGUCUCCCGUUGCCCGAGCUAAAGGUUUUCCUCGACGGAGUCUUUAGAAUACCGUGGUAGAGGCAGUCUCCACACCACUGUGCUCGAACAGCUCUAUGAAGAGGCCUAUGUGGAGAGGAGAAAAAGCCUCCACCAACAGCCAGCACCAACUUGCCAGCCAUAUGGCGUCUUGCUCUGUCACCCAGGCUGGGGUGCAGUGGUGUGAUCUCAGCUCACUGCAACCUCUGCCUCCUGGGUUCAAGCAAUUCUUCUGCCUCAGCCUCCCAAAGAGCUGUGAUUACAGACGUGUGCCACAAUACCCGGCUAAGUUUUGUAUUUUUAUUAUUAUUUUAUUUAUGUGUUUAUUUAUUUAUUUAUUUAUUUAUUUUGAGAUGGAGUCUUGCUGUGUCGCCCAGGGUGGAGUGCAGUGGUGCGAUCUCUGCUCGCUGCAGCCUCUGCCCCCCAGGCGAUUCUCCUGCCUCAGCCUCCCGAGUAGCUGGGAUUACAGGUGCCCGCCACCAUACCCGGCUAAUUUUUGUAUUUUUAGUAAAGACAGGGUUUUGCCAUGUUGGCCAGGCUGAUCUCGAACUCCUGACCUCAAGUGAUCUGUCUGCCUUGGCCUCCCAAGGCAGGGAGCCUGCUGGGAUUACAGGCAUGAGCCACCACGCCCAGUCAAAAUGUUUUAAAUGUUUCUAUACCACCAUCUGUGUCAAAGAGCAAAUGGUCUCUCUGCAGCUGGAACAACAAAAACUCAAAUGGUCCACACAGUGGUUCAUACCUAUAAGUCACCAAACCUAAACUAAGUUGUUAUCUGACCUUCUGGAAAUGAGAAGAGAUAGAUAACUGCCAGUUUCCCAAACAGGCCAGUUUAAAUCUUCCUGUAAGCAUGAUAAGGAAGUUCCCUCUGAUUUAAUCCUUACACACGAAAAAGUAGCCUUAAAUAACCUGAUAUUAACUCAUCAGUUUUAUUUUUAUUUAUUUAUUUUUUUUUGAGACAAUGUCUUGCUCUGUCACCCAGGCUGGAGUGCAGUGGCACAAUCUCGGCUCACUGCAAUCUCCGCCUCCCGGGUUCACGCCAUUCUCCUGCCUCAGCCUCCCGAGUAGCUGGGACUACAGGUGCCUGCCACCACACCCGGCUAAUUUUUGUAUUCUUAGUAGAGAUGGGGUUUCACCGUGUUAGCCAGGAUGGUCUCGAUCUCCUGACCUUGUGAUCCACCCCCCUCGGCCUCCCAAAGUGCUGGGAUUACAGGUGUGAGCCACCGCGCCUGGCCACUCAUCAGUUAUUUUUCUAUCAUUUUGUCUUUCUGUCCCCACUUUACAAGAAAAGUGACUUUGAAAGGACUAAUAACAUUAUUCGUUUUUUGCUUCUGCUUUCUUCAGCCCUUCUCUGUCUGUAAAGCCAGCUUCUUUUGCACAGCUCACUGCAACACUUAUUUUUAUUUGUAUUUUUAUUUUUUGAGACAAUGUCUCACUCUGUCACCCGGGCUGGAGAGUGGAGAGUACUAAUGCAGUCUUGGCCCACUGCACCUUCACCCUCCUCAACUCAAGCAAUCUUCCUGCCUCAACUUCCCUGGCAGCCAGGACUACAGGCUUGCACCACUAUACCCAGCUAAUUUUUAAAAUUUUUUUUUUUGUAGAGACAGGGUCUUGCUAUGUGGGCCAGACUGGUCUCAAACUCCUGGCCUCAAGGGAUCCUUCUUCCUUGGCCUGCCAAAGUGCUGGGAUAGAAUAAGUGUGCCGGGGCCACCAUGCCCAGGCCACCACACCUGGCCCACUUAUUCUAUUUUAUGGAAUGAAGUGUUACCCAAUUCUGGCUUUUUUUGAGACAGGGUCGUGCACCGUUGCUCAGGCGGGAAUGCAGUGGCACGAUCUUGGAACACUCCAACCUCCACCUCCAAGGCUCAAGCCAUCUUCCCACCUCAGCCUCCCGAGUAGCUGGGGCCACAGGCGUGUGCCACCACAUCCAGCUAAUUUUUGUAUUUUUUGUAGAGAUGGGGUUUUGCCAUGUUGCCCAGGCUGGUUUGGUCUCAAACUCCUGGUCUCAAGCCAUCCACCCACCUUGGUCUCCCAAAGUGCUGGGAUU
rnacentral:lncRNA from 1 species